UUUAUGGAAUAGGAGGACAAACGAGCGUACGGGUCACCUGGUGUUAAGUGAUCACCGCCGCCCACACUCUCCUGCAACACCAGAGGAAUCACAAGAGCGUUGCCGGCCUUUAAGGAAGGUGUACGCGCUUUUCUUGAAGGUACCCAUGUCGUAUCGUCCCGGAAACACCGCACAAGGAAGCUCAUUCCACAGCUUCGUGGUACGAGGAAGAAAGCUCCUUGAAAACCGCACUGUGGAGGACCGCCACACAUCCAGAUAGUGGGGAUGAUAUCGAAUACAAAAAUACAUUAAGAUCUAACACAACAUUUGAUAAAUUAAGUCCUGAACUAUACACUACUAGAUCAUCAGCAAAUUGGAGGGACAUUUAAGGAUAGAAGAAUGGAUGAUAAUUGUUCUAAAUCAACAUUAUUAAAUGCUCCUACAACAUCCAAAAAAACACCAGCCAAUAUCUUAUUGUCAAACUGGGCACUAUGGAUGUCAAGACAUAAAUGCCGUAUACUCUCACAAGCAGAACGACCACAUCGAAAUCCAAAUUGAUUAUUAGAUUGAGCAACGCUGAGCAUUCUUACAGAAUUUAGCCAAGUGGUCAAACCUAAGGCAUCGGAAACACUGCUUAACUGGCGGCACAUAAGGUCGCACUGGUAGACGCCACAUCUUUAAGUGAACGUAAUCUGGGAGUGAAGUAGAUGACGCAAAGGUAAUAAUGACUGCCUGUGUAGGUUGUAAUAUAAAACCACUAUCGGAUUUGUUUUUUUUUUCAUUAU